rnacentral:rRNA from 1 species
CGUAGGUGGCGAGCGUUAUCCGGAAUGAUUGGGCGUAAAGGGUGCGUAGGUGGCAGAUCAAGUCUGGAGUAAAGGUAUGGGGCUCAACCCGUACUUGCUCUGGAAACUGAUCAGCUAGAGAACAGAAGAGGACGGCGGAACUCCAUGUGUAGCGGUAAAAUGCGUAGAUAUAUGGAAGAACACCGGUGGCGAAGGCGGCCGUCUGGUCUGGAUUCUGACACUGAAGCACGAAAGCGUGGGAGCAAAUAGGAUU